rnacentral:misc_RNA from 1 species
AACGCACAUUGCGCCCUUUAGUAUUCUGAUGGGCAUGCCUGUUCGAGCGUCAUUUCAACCCUCAAGCACUGCUUGGUGUUGGGGCGCUACGGUUCGCCGUAGGCUCUUAAAACUAGUGGCGGGUCGCCUGUAAUCCCGAGCGUAGUAGUUAAUUCUCGCUUAGGGUCUUGCGGGAGAUUCUUGCCGUUAACCACUCAAAUAUAAAAGGUUGACCUCGGAUCAGGUAGGACUACCCGCUGAACUUAA